rnacentral:rRNA from 1 species
AUGAGCCAAAUACAAUGUGAAGAGAUGACAUACCUAUACUUGGACACUGUAUGCAAGGCAACAAUGAAUUACAACACAAUGGAGAAUAUGUGUCCAGCAGAGUUCCUCAACAACAUGAUCUUCCCAGGAAUUCCAAUCCACGAUCUAAAACUGAAGGUAGGUUUGGAGGUGAUGCUCCUACGGAACAUCAAUCAAGCGGCAAGUUUAUGCAAUGGCACAAGAAUGACUAUCACACCGCUGGGCAAAAGGUACAUUGAGGCACAAAUAAUCACAGGAACACACGUCAGUGACAAGGUAUACAUACCUGAAAUUAUUAUGUCACCAAGCGACUUGAAGUGGCCCUUCAUGUUGAAAAGAAGGCAAUAUCCUCUAUCAGUUUAUUUUACAAUGACCAUAAAUAAAAGCCAAUGUCAAUCCCUAAAGAAGGUGGGCCUAUAUUUGCCUAAGCAAGUCUUCUGCCAUGGGCAACUAUAUGUGGCAUUAACAAGAGUCACAUACACAGAAGGAUUAAAGGUGUUGAUUGACGACACAGAGUGCCCAAGCGAAGAUAGCACAAAGAAUAUAUAUAGUAUACAAAGAGAUCUUCUAAUUUUAGAAGAUCUCUUCGUAAAUCAUGACCUUAGUAAGAACAUGACAAUGCAUAUUAUUAUUGCCAUACACUACUUUCAUGCAUACAGAUGUUAA